rfam:Branchiostoma floridae genomic scaffold BRAFLscaffold_258, whole genome shotgun sequence.
CCUUCGAUAGCUCAGUUGGUAGAGCGGAGGACUGUAGCGGGAACAUGUUGACAUCCUUAGGUCGCUGGUUCGAAUCCGGCUCGAAGGA